GGCGAAAAGAACCCCGGCGAGGGGAGUGAAAUAGAACCUGAAACCGUGUACGUACAAGCAGUGGGAGCAUCCUUCGGGGUGUGACUGCGUACCUUUUGUAUAAUGGGUCAGCGACUUAUAUUCUGUAGCAAGGUUAACCGCAUAGGGGAGCCGCAGGGAAACCGAGUCUUAACUGGGCGUUAAGUUGCAGGGUAUAGACCCGAAACCCGGUGAUCUAGCCAUGGGCAGGUUGAAGGUUGGGUAACACUAACUGGAGGACCGAACCGACUAAUGUUGAAAAAUUAGCGGAUGACUUGUGGCUGGGGGUGAAAGGCCAAUCAAACCGGGAGAUAGCUGGUUCUCCCCGAAAGCUAUUUAGGUAGCGCCUCGUGAAGUCAUCUUCGGGGGUAGAGCACUGUUUCGACUAGGGGGCCAUCCCGGCUUACCAACUCGAUGCAAACUGCGAAUACCGAAGAAUGUUAUCACGGGAGACACACGGCGGGUGCUAACGUCCGUCGUGAAGAGGGAAACAACCCAGACCGCCAGCUAAGGUCCCAAAGUCAUGGUUAAGUGGGAAACGAUGUGGGAAGGCCCAGACAGCCAGGAUGUUGGCUUAGAAGCAGCCAUCAUUUAAAGAAAGCGUAAUAGCUCACUGGUCGAGUCGGCCUGCGCGGAAGAUGUAACGGGGCUAAACCAUGCACCGAAGCUGCGGCAGCGACGCUUAGGCGUUGUUGGGUAGGGGAGCGUUCUGUAAGCCUGCGAAGGUGGCCUGUGAGGGCUGCUGGAGGUAUCAGAAGUGCGAAUGCUGACAUAAGUAACGAUAAUGCGGGUGAAAAACCCGCACGCCGGAAGACCAAGGGUUCCUGUCCAACGUUAAUCGGGGCAGGGUGAGUCGACCCCUAAGGCGAGGCCGAAAGGCGUAGUCGAUGGGAAACAGGUUAAUAUUCCUGUACUUGGUGUUACUGCGAAGGGGGGACGGAGAAGGCUGGGUUAUCCGGGCGACGGUUGUCCCGGUUUAAGCGUGUAGGUGGGUGUUUUUGGUAAAUCCGGAACACCGUUAACACUGAGGCGUGACGACGAGUCACUACGGUGAUGAAGUAACCGAUGCCAAGCUUCCAGGAAAAGCCUCUAAGCUCCAGGUAACACGAAAUCGUACCCCAAACCGACACAGGUGGUCAGGUAGAGAAUACCCAGGCGCUUGAGAGAACUCGGGUGAAGGAACUAGGCAAAAUGGUGCCGUAACUUCGGGAGAAGGCACGCUGGCGUUGGUGAAGGGACUGGCUCCCGGAGCUGAUACCAGUCGCAGAUACCAGCUGGCUGCAACUGUUUAAUAAAAACACAGCACUGUGCAAACACGAAAGUGGACGUAUACGGUGUGACGCCUGCCCGGUGCCGGAAGGUUAAUUGAUGGGGUCAGCCGCAAGGCGAAGCUCUUGAUCGAAGCCCCGGUAAACGGCGGCCGUAACUAUAACGGUCCUAAGGUAGCGAAAUUCCUUGUCGGGUAAGUUCCGACCUGCACGAAUGGCGUAAUGAUGGCCAGGCUGUCUCCACCCGAGACUCAGUGAAAUUGAACUCGCUGUGAAGAUGCAGUGUACCCGCGGCAAGACGGAAAGACCCCGUGAACCUUUACUAUAGCUUGACACUGAACCUUGAGCC
rnacentral:rRNA from 1 species